rnacentral:rRNA from 1 species
CCUACGGGUGGCAGCAGUGGGGAAUAUUGGACAAUGGGCGAAAGCCUGAUCCAGCCAUGCCGCGUGUGUGAAGAAGGCCUUCGGGUUGUAAAGCACUUUCAGUGGGGAAGAAAGCCUUGGGGCUAAUACCCUCGAGGAAGGACAUCACCCACAGAAGAAGCACCGGCUAACUCCGUGCCAGCAGCCGCGGUAAUACGGAGGGUGCGAGCGUUAAUCGGAAUUACUGGGCGUAAAGCGCGCGUAGGCGGUCUGAUAAGCCGGUUGUGAAAGCCCCGGGCUCAACCUGGGAACGGCAUCCGGAACGGUCAGGCUAGAGUGCAGGAGAGGAAGGGAGAAUUCCCGGUGUAGCGGUGAAAUGCGUAGAGAUCGGGAGGAAUACCAGUGGCGAAGGCGGCCUGCUGGACUGACACUGACGCUGAGGUGCGAAAGCGUGGGUAGCAAACAGGAUUAGAUACCCCUGAGUC